UACGUAGGGAGCUAGCGUUGUUCGGAUAUACUGGGCGUAAAGCGCACGUAGGCGGCGCCGUAAGUCAGGGGUGAAAUCCCGGAGCUCAACUCCGGAACUGCCUUUGAAACUGCGGUGCUAGAAUCCUGGAGAGGCGAGUGGAAUUCCGAGUGUAGAGGUGAAAUUCGUAGAUAUUCGGAAGAACACCAGUGGCGAAGGCGACUCGCUGGACAGGUAUUGACGCUGAGGUGCGAAAGCGUGGGGAGCAAACAGG
rnacentral:rRNA from 1 species